rnacentral:rRNA from 1 species
AUACGUAGGUGGCAAGCGUUAUCCGGAUUUAUUGGGUUUAAAGGGAGCGUAGGCGGACGCUUAAGUCAGUUGUGAAAGUUUGCGGCUCAACCGUAAAAUUGCAGUUGAUACUGGGUGUCUUGAGUACAGUAGAGGCAGGCGGAAUUCGUGGUGUAGCGGUGAAAUGCUUAGAUAUCACGAAGAACUCCGAUUGCGAAGGCAGCCUGCUGGACUGUAACUGACGCUGAUGCUCGAAAGUGUGGGUAUCAAACAGGAUUAGAUACCCUGGUAGUCCACACAGUAAACGAUGAAUACUCGCUGUUUGCGAUAUACAGUAAGCGGCCAAGCGAAAGCGUUAAGUAUUCCACCUGGGGAGUACGCCGGCAACGGUGAAACUCAAAUGAAUUGACGGGG